GGGGCUGCCGCCAUGCCUGGCCCCCACAGGGCUCUGCAGCAAAUGCAGAGCAAAGACACAGCUGCCACUGGACAGGCAGCAUUACUUAGCUGGAGCACAGACUGGAGCUCUGUACAGCAGGACCUUUUUUCAAAAAGCACUACAAAGUUUUUUGGUGUUAAGGGAAGAUGGCAGCCAGUGCACCUUGAAGAGACCAGGUUUCUGCUUGCCAGGUGGUAAGUAAGCUGUGGCUGCUGGAAGUCAGCACCCCCUGCCUUGCUGCUGCUGAAGAUGCUGGGUACUGGUGCCAGUCAUGAUGGGACUCUGUUACGCACGCACAGUCUACCAAAUUUAAGUUGUAGGUGGAGCCUGCUGUCAAGAGUUUUUAAAAUAAAACAAAGAAG